rnacentral:rRNA from 1 species
AGUGAACGCUGGCGGUAGGCCUAACACAUGCAAGUCGAACGGCAGCACAGAGGAGCUUGCUCCUUGGGUGGCGAGUGGCGGACGGGUGAGGAAUACAUCGGAAUCGACUCUGUCGGGGGGGAUAACGUAGGGAAACUUACGCUAAUACCGCAUACGACCUACGGGUGAAAGCAGGGGACCUUCGGGCCUUGCGCGAUUGAAUGAGCCGAUGUCGGAUUAGCUAGUUGGCGGGGUAAAGGCCCACCAAGGCGACGAUCCGUAGCUAGUCUGAGAGGAUGAUCAGCCACACUGGAACUGAGACACGGUCCAGACUCCUACGGGAGGCAGCAGUGGGGAAUAUUGGACAAUGGGCGCAAGCCUGAUCCAGCCAUACCGCGUGGGUGAAGAAGGCCUUCGGGUUGUAAAGCCCUUUUGUUGGGAAAGAAAUCCAGCUGGCUAAUACCCGGUUGGGAUGACGGUACCCAAAGAAUAAGCACCGGCUAACUUCGUGCCAGCAGCCGCCGUAA